rnacentral:rRNA from 1 species
GACGAACGCUGGCGGCGUGCUUAACACAUGCAAGUCGAACGGAAAGACCCUGCUUUUGUGGGGUGCUCGAGUGGCGAAUGGGUGAGUAACACGUGAGUAACCUGCCCUUGACUUUGGGAUAACUUCAGGAAACUGGGGCUAAUACCGGAUAGGAGCUCCUGCUGCAUGGUGGGGGUUGGAAAGUUUCGGCGGUUGGGGAUGGACUCGCGGCUUAUCAGCUUGUUGGUGGGGUAGUGGCUUACCAAGGCUUUGACGGGUAGCCGGCCUGAGAGGGUGACCGGCCACAUUGGGACUGAGAUACGGCCCAGACUCCUACGGGAGGCAGCAGUGGGGAAUAUUGCACAAUGGGCGGAAGCCUGAUGCAGCAACGCCGCGUGCGGGAUGACGGCCUUCGGGUUGUAAACCGCUUUCGCCUGUGACGAAGCGUGAGUGACGGUAAUGGGUAAAGAAGCACCGGCUAACUACGUG